rnacentral:rRNA from 1 species
GGAGCUUGCUCCCUGAUGUUAGCGGCGGACGGGUGAGUAACACGUGGGUAACCUGCCUGUAAGACUGGGAUAACUCCGGGAAACCGGGGCUAAUACCGGAUGGUUGUUUGAACCGCAUGGUUCAAACAUAAAAGGUGGCUUCGGCUACCACUUACAGAUGGACCCGCGGCGCAUUAGCUAGUUGGUGAGGUAACGGCUCACCAAGGCAACGAUGCGUAGCCGACCUGAGAGGGUGAUCGGCCACACUGGGACUGAGACACGGCCCAGACUCCUACGGGAGGCAGCAGUAGGGAAUCUUCCGCAAUGGACGAAAGUCUGACGGAGCAACGCCGCGUGAGUGAUGAAGGUUUUCGGAUCGUAAAGCUCUGUUGUUAGGGAAGAACAAGUACCGUUCGAAUAGGGCGGUACCUUGACGGUACCUAACCAGAAAGCCACGGCUAACUACGUGCCAGCAGCCGCGGUAAUACGUAGGUGGCAAGCGUUGUCCGGAAUUAUUGGGCGUAAAGGGCUCGCAGGCGGUUUCUUAAGUCUGAUGUGAAAGCCCCCGGCUCAACCGGGGAGGGUCAUUGGAAACUGGGGAACUUGAGUGCAGAAGAGGAGAGUGGAAUUCCACGUGUAGCGGUGAAAUGCGUAGAGAUGUGGAGGAACACCAGUGGCGAAGGCGACUCUCUGGUCUGUAACUGACGCUGAGGAGCGAAAGCGUGGGGAGCGAACAGGAUUAGAUACCCUGGUA